rnacentral:lncRNA from 1 species
UCUCUGAGCCUCGUGACGUUCUUAUCGCUCAGGGAUUGCCAUAGAUGAACGAGUUUCGAGAGUAGACUAGCGACCUCGAAGGCUAACACUCCAAGCACAUCCUUCUCUUUAUGACCUUCGUUUUUCUUUGGGAAUUUCCAGAGGUUACGAAACCAAGUCUCUGAAACCAUCCUCUCUCUCUCUCAAGCUGAUGCGUGACAAUCAACAGUGUCUCUCCUACACAAUGAAUGAACAAUCUGUUAACCAAUACAAGUGAGGAAACGCAGAAUCAAUCAUUCACAUCAAAAGUGGAAUCAUCAAGAAAACAGCUCUUACGCACGUAAUAUGAAUCGAUUCUGCUGAAAGUGGGAGAAAUCUAGCUACAGAGCUAACGUUACGUAGAAUCGCCAAUCCUACCAACUCUCUCUCUCUCUCAAACUGCUGCGUUAUAAUCAACAGUGUCUCCUACACAAUGAAUGAACAAGAUCAGGAACAAUCUGUUAGCCAUUGAAACGCAUAAUCAAUCAUUCACACAAGUAAUUCACAUCAAAAACUCGAAAUCUCUAAGCUGAAAUCAUCAAGAAAACACCUCUUACGCAAGCAAUAGGAAUCGGAUUUGGCUGAAAUUGGAUUGAAAUCUAUGCUACAGAGCUCAAGUUACGCAGAAUCACCAAUCCUACCAUCCUCUCUCAAUACAAUCAACAGUGUCUCCUACACAACGAAUGAACAAUCUGUUAACCAAUGAAACGCAUAAUCAAUCAUUCACACAAGCGAUUCACAUCCAAAAACUGAAAUCUCGAGCUGAAAUCAGCUCUUACGCACGUAAAUAUGAAUCGAUUUAGCUGAAAUUAGGCGAAAACCUAAGCUACAGAGCUCGAGUUACGCAGAAUCGCCAAAUCAAAAUCACGAACAACCCGUUAACCAAUACGACUGAGGAAACGCAGAAUCAAUCAUUCACACAAACGAUUCACAUCAAAAAACUCGAAAUCUCGAGGUGGAAUCAUCAAGAAAACAGCUCUUACGCAAGCAAUAUGAAUCGAUUUAGCUGAGAUUGGAUGAAAUCAAGCUACUACGCAGAAUCGCCAAAUCCUACCAAAUCGAGUUUCUAAAUAAAUUCUCCAGCUGGAGUAUGUAAACACGGCCUCGCGAAAUCACUAUUCGAAUUGGAAUUGUCGGCGAAUCGAGAAACAGAUAUGGAAACAGAAGAGGCGUCUGCAAACGAGGAAGCGCGUAAGAGCGCGAGAGGAGAAGAAGAAAGCUUACCGAUUUUGGCACAUACGUAUAUGCAGCAGUAGUAUGUAUCAUCUCAACCACAAUAAAAUCUCGUAGAAACAAUAUACAAUGCAUCAUCACAUCCUACUACAAGUCAGAAUAGUAAAGGAGAUAAAGAGAAAAGAGACGCUCACAUCAUAAUACCUCUCGUGGUAAUCUAGCAACGUAACAGCUUUUCGUCCUCGGGUUUGGUCCAAGCUGCACGGUUUGGUUGAGUUCCAAUGCCAGUUUAGGUAAAAAAUAUAGUCUAGGAGAGCUUCAGUAGUUAUCCGUGUCUAAACAUUUCUCAAGUGUUUGACUACUAGUACACUCUUGAAGAGCCUUGGCGUUAAGCUCUCUGCCAUAUCUCCAGACAUAGUUGAGCCCGACAAGAAGCUCCGUGAUGAUGGUUUCUGUUUUCUGCUGGUUCGCAAAGAAGAGAGUCUGCGCGAGAACUAUGUGCGUCCUCGAAACCAAGCUCUGGUUCUCGUAACUCCUCUCGGACUGCCAUUUUAUCAUGUUGUGAGCUAACGGACCCAACCAUUCCAAGAUACCCGCCAUUGCGUCUGUCCACUCCUUCGCUAGCCCCGGAUCAUAAACCGCGGAAGAGCUCAAGUUUUUCGAGUACGGCUUUAGCCUCUCUCUCAACGAUUUUCUCACGCUCGCUGGUAACAUGUUGUAAAGGUCGUCUCUCGCAUCGUCGCCUAUCAAGUGGGGAGAUGCAACGAAUCUCUCUAUCACGAUGAUGACAUUAGCGUAGUGUAACGCUAAGCAAGCGGCGCCGAGGGUGUUAGGAGCAGCAUCUGACAACUUGGGUCUUUCAACGUGGACAGUGUUGGAACUUCCUUCGAGAAUCUGAUGAUGCUCUGCGCUACUAUGCCUAGCUCCGUUCUGGGUCCUAGUGCUGAGAGGAGUGAUACCGUCUUGAGACACCAUGCAGCCUUUAAAGGGACCAACCUGUGUUAAACGGUUGGGUUUUGACUGCUUUUUCGCUGAGGAGACCGAAGGCCUUUCCGGUGUCUGCACCACCGUCUUCUUGUUGUGUUUGCCCAUUCCCAUAAGCGGUCCUGACUUGGAUGUGAACUUCCCGAGAGGACCCGAGUAAAACUUGAAACGUUUGUUCUUUUCUGGGGCAAGAGGACCUGACUUAGGGGACUGGGUAGUGAGUGAGCCCGAGAGGAAAUCACCCAUCUUCGUGGACUUUGUAGCAGCUGAGCCUGACGCUGGACCUGUGAAUCUCCCAAGAGGACCAGAAGCAAAUCUAGGAGGACGGGUGGUCUCGGACUGAUGCGUCAAAACAGUGGAAACAGAGUGGCCGCGAGCGAUGAAAUCAGAAUCCGCAGAGCUAACAUCGCUAGCCUCUGCUCUGUAACUAAUGCCGAAAACAUGUUUAGUCCUAGUCAAGAUUGUGAAGAUCGAUCUCACCAAGAGAAGGACGGUGUAGUCAUAAGUACGGUUCCAAAGAGACACCUCCCUUAGAUUCUUCACUUCAUGUUUCUUCCACGUGACUUUUUUCCUGUACUCCACUAUAUUAUCGGUUGCAGAUUCAUUGCUCUGCCUUCUCUUGAGACUCUGCUCAAGCUCCGUCAGAAUCUCAGUCUCCUGGUAAAGACUAGCAUUAGACGAGAUAAAACGCUCCAUCCUCUUAACCUUUCUAUCCAUUUUCUUCCACCCAAACUGCCACCCAUAAGGAUCAGCUCCCGUCUUCAUCAUCUCACCGAAACAACUCUCGAAGCUCUUCAACUUGGGAUCGUUGCAUUUUACAGCGAGCCUAGCCACAGCUUUCGCUACGUUCUCAACGUUCUCCAUCAUCUCGUCGCGUAUCAGCCUCACGAUGAAGUCAUCGUCAUCUGAAACUAGCUUCUUUAUACCCGCGGAACGCGUGAUCUCUUCUCUGAGCCUCGUGACGUUCUUAUCGCUCAGGGAUUGCCAUAGAUGAACGAGUUUCGAGAGUAGACUAGCGACCUCGAAGGCUAACACUCCAAGCACAUCCUUCUCUUUAUGACCUUCGUUUUUCUUUGGGAAUUUCCAGAGGUUACGAAACCAAGUCUCUGAAACCAUCCUCUCUCUCUCUCAAGCUGAUGCGUGACAAUCAACAGUGUCUCUCCUACACAAUGAAUGAACAAUCUGUUAACCAAUACAAGUG